GGAGCGAUCGGCGAUGCGCAGCUCAGCGUUCGUACAGAGCAGAGAAUAAAUAAAUAAAUAUAAAAUUAAUUUAAAUUAAUUUUAUAUUUUAUUUAUUUUCUAUUCUGCUUUUCAUGCUGAGGGGAAAGUCCCUGUGCCUCGGAGCCGUGAGGGUUAGAUAGAUAUUAUCUAUAAUCUGUCUGUUAUAGCUACUCUCUCUGUCUCUCUUUAUUCAUCUAGCUAGCUAGCUAGCUAGCUAGCUAGGUGGAUGGAAGGGGGUACGAGGGGCCCUGCGACAGCAGUUAUAUGCUGAAGAAGGGCAGCAGCAGCAGCAGCAGAUGAUUCGCUAUUGAUAAUUGAGGUGUACAUACACCUCACAUUUGUCUCCUCUUAGGAUUGAGUUGAUGCGCUUGACAGCGAAUUAAUUGCUGUUAACAUAAUAGGGCUUACGUCUGCAUCGUUC
rnacentral:RNase_MRP_RNA from 1 species